GACGAACGCUGGCGGCGUGCCUAAUACAUGCAAGUAGAACGCUGAAGGAGGAGCUUGCUUCUCUGGAUGAGUUGCGAACGGGUGAGUAACGCGUAGGUAACCUGCCUGGUAGCGGGGGAUAACUAUUGGAAACGAUAGCUAAUACCGCAUAAUAGUAGAUGUUGCAUGACAUUUGCUUAAAAGGUGCAAUUGCAUCACUACCAGAUGGACCUGCGUUGUAUUAGCUAGUUGGUGGGGUAACGGCUCACCAAGGCGACGAUACAUAGCCAACCUGAGAGGGUGAUCGGCCACACUGGGACUGAGACACGGCCCAGACUCCUACGGGAGGCAGCAGUAGGGAAUCUUCGGCAAUGGACGGAAGUCUGACCGAGCAACGCCGCGUGAGUGAAGAAGGUUUUCGGAUCGUAAAGCUCUGUUGUAAGAGAAGAACGAGUGUGAGAGUGGAAAGUUCACACUGCGACGGUAUCUUACCAGAAAGGGACGGCUAACUACGUG
rnacentral:rRNA from 1 species